UGCAUCAAUAUCUAUGUGUGGGUGAAUUUGAAAGACAUGGAACUCCCAAAUUUCACUAUGCAUCUAAUUUAAGUUUACAAUUUCAUUUUCUGUGGAAGUUAAGAACAAAGUUUAUGAGUUUUUUUGUUGUUGUUGGAUUUGAAGUUUAUGAGCUUUUGAGUCAAGUUUGAAUAACAACUCACACAUUAAGUUACAACUUCUCUCAUCACAUAAUCCAACCCAUAGAAACCCAUACUCAUCUUAUGCUUAACAUAUGUGAACCCCACCACUCUCCCCCUCGUCAUCUCCUCUUAACUUGCAACCCCAACAAAGUGGAAUUGAGGACAGUUAGAUUUUGCAGAAUUUUUUGGUCCUUAAAUUUUCUGCAACUUCAUUCCAAGACAUAAAUCGUAAAAAUUAAAAACUCUGUCUAACCCCAAAACCUUUAAGCACCUCACACAGUAGAAUCUUAGUCAUGUGUUUUUUAAGAAGUUAAAGAACUUGGUCUGAUCCGUUUAAGAAAAGGACUUGGUGUGGCGGUGGAAGGAAGAGACGAAGCAGAGAGAAGAACAUGGAACUGCAUCUACCACGGGCUAUAUCAGGUCAUAUUAGAAGGACCAUAUCAGGGGUACCCUAAUAAAUAUAUUCUAUAAUUCUUGCACAACAUUAUGGAACUUUCAUUUGCCAGUUUUACGUCAAAACUUCUGUUGUAAUACUUUACUUCUAAAGAUCAACCUGCUAAGUUGAAUAAUUGAAAUAAAAUGAAACUUGGAAAAUUGUCUGUUAAGUGGAUGAAUUGAAAGCAUAAGCAUCUACUUGAGCAAAUAAAUCAAAACCAAACUUUAUUCAAAAUGACUUGAAAUUAAACACUAAAACACGACAACAAGCGUAUCACCUCAAAUUUCAUUAGUGUAAUGAGGCUCGGUAAAGUCUACUAAGUAGCCUUCACCUUAGUUUGAGAAAUAGCUUCAACAAAGCAAGUGACAAAGUCAACACUAGCUUCAAAUUCACCAUCUACAACAUCAACUACAUACCAUCUGGCACAGAUACUUUAGCAGGGCCAUGUCCCAUAACCACAGAUAUAGUUUCCUUGUCUUGCUCACUUCUAAGAAAUGGUGGAAUGGAUAUUAAGAUGGCUUCACCCCUAUACAGUGACU
rnacentral:lncRNA from 1 species